UAUUAAAAUUUUUAUCCGUUUUUACUAUUAAAAUUUGAUGUGGCUGAUGAAAUAACCAAAUUAUUACACAUGACAUGCCACGUGUACCUUUAUGAUGAUAUACAUAGACUAGUUUUUAAUAGUAAAAAUAAAUUGAAUUUUUAACA
rfam:Gossypium arboreum cultivar AKA8401 contig_2122_15, whole genome shotgun sequence.